rnacentral:rRNA from 1 species
UACGUAGGGUGCAAGCGUUAAUCGGAAUUACUGGGCGUAAAGCGUGCGCAGGCGGUUAUGUAAGACCGAUGUGAAAUCCCCGGGCUUAACCUGGGAACUGCAUUGGUGACUGGCAGGCUAGAGUAUGGCAGAGGGGGGUAGAAUUCCACGUGUAGCAGUGAAAUGCGUAGAGAUGUGGAGGAAUACCGAUGGCGAAGGCAGCCCCCUGGGCCAAUACUGACGCUCAUGCACGAAAGCGUGGGGAGCAAACAGG